rnacentral:RNase_P_RNA from 1 species
UGAGUCGCCCGGAUCACCGCGUUGUAGCAAUAUGCCGAGGAAAGUCCGGACUUCACAGAGCAAGGUGGUGGGUAACGCCCACCUGGAGCAAUCCACGGGAAAGUGCAACAGAAAGCAAACCGCCAAUAUUUUUCGGAAUAUUGGUAAGGGUGAAACGGCGGUGUAAGAGACCACCAGUGCGUGUAGCAAUAUACGUAGCUAUGUAAACCCCACCUGAAGCAAGACCAAGAAGAUAGUGCGCUGCUCGCGCUGAAGCUAUCGGGUAGGUCGCUUGAAUCUGUAAGUAAUUACAGAUCUAGAUGGAUGGUGAUCUCGCUAGCAAUAGCAAGACAGGAUCCGGCUUAUAGGGCGACUCUUCUU